CCUCAUGUGGAUGGGGAUCUGCAGCUUGAAAAGCUACAAUGCCAGGAUUUCAUUACAACAUCAUUAAGCUUUGCAUUUGUCAAGAAAGGAUUUAAGUUUUUGUGUAAAGGUAGAGCUGGUGUCCUUCUGGAGGUUUCCCAUCAAUAUUAAGUUGCAGGAUGCAUUUGGCAUCCUGUCGGUCAGGAUGCCAGUGAUCAUGUGGUGGAUGCCUGAAUCCCGACCCCACUCGGACCGGCUCCGGAACACUGACAGCCAACAUCCCGAAGGUCCAGUUGGUUCUUCAUUACAAAGAGGAGGAAGCUUGCAGUUGGGACAGAGAGCUGGAUACCGAGACCAUUCUUAGGGCAUUGGUGGCAUCCUUACAGUGAUAAGCACCUCUUCAGUCAUCCGAGAACCUGGAUGCAGAUGCCAGCCACCUGGUCUUGCUCCUUGCCUUGAGUUGUGACACUGGUCACACUGAUCUUGUUGCAGCCCUGUAUUCUUUUCACUAGAGCAUUAUUGCCCUAGUGAAAAGAAUAAUGUAUAAUUUUCACUGUAUACUUUUAUAAUACUGUAUAGUUUUCAAUAGGGCAUUAUUGCAACUUGUUCUUUUCACAAAAAGACCAAGUUGCAAUAAAUAAUGCUAUCCUUUUGAUAGCUUGUAAAUGUGUCUUUAAUACAUGUGAAGCAUGUUAAUUUACCAAAAUGUGGUUAGCAGUAGCAGAGAUAUUUUACAAAAAAAUAGCAGCAAAGUAAUCCCAAAAAUCAUUGUACUGUGCUAUAUUCAGUUCUGUAAAUAUGAAGAAUAAUGUAAACUUGCAAUGAUAAUGCUUCAUGCUUAACAUAACUGUUUCAGAGCUAGUGCAAAUUCAUUUCCCAAGCUUUAAUCUCUUAUUGUAAUUAAAUUGUUAUGCAAUUUAUAGGAUGCAUUUGAUGAUGCCAAUGAGGACUUAAUUAAAAUCCUAAUUUGAAGCAUGUAAACAAAAAUGUCUAUUACAUUAAACAGCAUUUGUUUAAAA